UACGUAGGGUGCGAGCGUUAAUCGGAAUUACUGGGCGUAAAGCGUGCGUAGGCGGUUCGUUGUGUCUGUGGUGAAAGCCCCGGGCUUAACCUGGGAAUGGCCAUGGAAACUGGCGAGCUGGAGUGUGGCAGAGGGGGUGGGAAUUCCGCGUGUAGCAGUGAAAUGCGUAGAGAUGCGGAGGAACACCGAUGGCGAAGGCAGCCCCCUGGGCUAACACUGACGCUGAGGCACGAAAGCGUGGGGAGCAAACAGG
rnacentral:rRNA from 1 species